rnacentral:rRNA from 1 species
UACGUAGGGUGCGAGCGUUGUCCGGAAUUAUUGGGCGUAAAGAGCUUGUAGGUGGUUUGUCGCGUCUGCUGUGAAAAUCCGAGGCUCAACCUCGGACUUGCAGUGGGUACGGGCAGACUAGAGUGUGGUAGGGGAGACUGGAAUUCCUGGUGUAGCGGUGGAAUGCGCAGAUAUCAGGAGGAACACCGAUGGCGAAGGCAGGUCUCUGGGCCAUUAACUGACACUGGAGAAGCGAAAGCCAUGGGGAGCGAAACAGG